CAAUGUACAAGGCAUGAUUAUAAACCAAUGAGACUGAUUCUCACACGUCUGUUAUAGAUAUCAGUCUCAUUAUGUUACCAUCACACCAUGUACAUU
rnacentral:miRNA from 1 species